AGCCCUGGUUUUACAGUUAUUGGCGCGAUACAAAAGUUUUUUUUUAUUGCGAAAUUCUGCAUUAUCAUUGCUAAUUUUUCGCUAGUUUGUCGUUAACUGCGCGUUUAAUAUUACGCAACAUGUCGGAAAAAGAAGAAGAAUCGAUUGCCUAUCUGACGGAGAAGGGCAUUUUUCCAAGGUUACUGGAGAUACUCAAGCAAAUGGUGGAAACCGAUCCCAUGCCAGCGGAUCCUCUUAUGUAUAUUUUACAUUUACUGGGCUGUCCUCUGAUUCCACAGGCCCAAAUGAAGGCCUUGGAGCGAAAAGUGUCUCGUGCCCACGAAGAACUGCGCUAUUUGCGACGCGUCAUCAUCGAUUUGGAUGGCGAUGAUCAGCUCUACGACAGCGAAAGCGAUGUGGAGGAAUAUGUGGGCGAUGUGGAGGACACAAGUUUGUCCGCCACCGAAAUUUCCCUGGCGGAAAGCACUGAAUGCCCAGCAGAAGACUCCUCGCAACUGGAAUUUCUAGCCCAGUCCUCAAGUUCAUCAUCCAAGGAUUCGGAUUCCUCCCAUCAAUAGAUCCUACAAGUUUCACAUCAGUCGCUGAGCCUCUCAUUAUGUAAAGCUUACAUAUCUUUGGCAACUGCAUUAUCAUUAAACGGCCUGUAGAGCAGACAAGCGGGAUUCGUAGGAUGGCACACAUAUAUAUAGGGAUAGGGAUCUCCUGCCGAAUUCGGAGCACUGAAAACACAGGUUAUUGCCGCAACGAAAGCAGCCAAGUAUAGAUUCAUCUUGGCUGAUCAGUUUGAAAAGAACAUUUUUAAUACAUUUUUUGUAAGGCUUUUUUUUUUUGGUGCAGAACUAAUUGCAUAAAUACCAGGCAAAAUUUAAUUUUAAGUGGUAAAAUGGAAAUUGAAUUUAUAUACAUGUUUGUUUCACCUACCUCAAGAUCUUUGUGGGAAAAUGAAUAAAAUAAAGCUGCUCUAAUACA